rnacentral:tRNA from 1 species
GGGCGCAUAGCUCAGCGGUAGAGCACUACCUUGACAUGGUAGGGGUCACAGGUUCGAACCCUGUUGUGCCCACCA